rnacentral:rRNA from 1 species
GAUGAACGCUAGCUACAGGCUUAACACAUGCAAGUCGAGGGAACGGCGCACGGGUGAGUAACACGUAGCCAACCUGCCCAUUACUCGGGGAUAGCCUUUCGAAAGGAAGAUUAAUACCCGAUAUAAAGGAUGGGGAUGCGUUCCAUUAGGUUGUUGGUGAGGUAACGGCUCACCAAGCCUUCGAUGGGUAGGGGUUCUGAGAGUGAGGUCCCCCACGUGGGCACUGGGGCACGGGCCAAUAUCCUACGGGAGGCAGCAGUGAGGAAUAUUGGUCAAUGGGAGCUAGCCUGAACCUGCCAAGUAUCGUGAAGGAUGAAGGCUUAUGGGUCGUCAACUUCUUUUAUAUAAGAAUGUGUAUUAGCUGAAUAAGGAGCGGCUAACUCCGUGCCAGCAGCCGCGGUAAUUC